rnacentral:tRNA from 1 species
GGGGCGGUAGCUCAGUGGUAGAGCACAUGCUUUGCAAGCAUGGGGUCAGGGGUUCGACUCCCCUUCGCUCCAC